rnacentral:rRNA from 1 species
UGAGAGUUUGAUCCUGGCUCAGGACGAACGCUGGCGGCGUGCCUAAUGCAUGCAAGUCGAGCGGGCUACGAUCUUCGGAUUGUAGCUUAGCGGCGAACGGGUGAGUAACACGUAGGUAAUCUACCCUUCAGAGGAGGACAACCUCAGGAAACUGAGGCUAAACCUUCAUACGUUCACUGGUAGGGAUACUGGUGAAGAAAGAGCUACCGUCGAGGUAGUUGCUGAAGGAUGAGCCUGCGGCCCAUCAGGUAGUUGGUGAGGUAACGGCUCACCAAGCCGAAGACGGGUAACCGGUCUGAGAGGAUGUCCGGUCACACUGGGACUGAGACACGGCCCAGACUCCUACGGGAGGCAGCAGCAGGGAAUCUUGGGCAAUGGGCGAAAGCCUGACCCAGCGACGCCGCGUGGAGGAAGAAGUCCUUCGGGGCGUAAACUCCUGGACUGGGGGACGAGAAAGGACGGUACCCCAGUAGAAAGGGACGGCUAACUACGUGCCAGCAGCCGCGGUAAAACGUAGGUCCCGAGCGUUGUUCGGAUUCACUGGGUGUAAAGGGCGCGUAGGUGGUUGUCUGUGUCUCAUGUGAAAACUCAGGGCUCAACUCUGAGAUUGCGUGGGAAACUAGGCAGCUAGAGGACGGUAGAGGGGAGUGGAAUUCCCGGUGUAGCGGUAAAUGCGUAGAUAUCGGGAGGAACACCGGUGGCGAAAGCGGCUCUCUGGGCCGAUCCUGACGCUGAGGCGCGAAAGCUAGGGGAGCGAACCGGAUUAGAUACCCCGGUAGUCCUAGCCGUAAACGAUGGGUGCUAGUGUUGGGGGGGUAAAGACCCUUCAGUGCCGAAGCCAACGCGAUAAGCAUCCCACCUGGGGAGUACGGCCGCAACGUUGAAACUCAACGAUUGGCGGGGGUCGCACAAGCGGCGGAGCAUGUGUUU